CUUGCCUGGCAGUGCUGCAUCCAAGCUCUGCCUUUCUGCAACAGAGGCUCUUCCCUUGAAGUUCACUGCAGCCAGAAACUCAGAAGACAACAUGAGCAGUGUGCUCAUGCAGCUGGAUACUUCCAUGAAUAAAGCAUCCAUUGUUUAAAAACGAACACUCUCCACUGAACUAACACUUUACAAUAAAGCCUCCAACGAAGCCCUGCUGGGAUUUUUAGCACUCUCCUUCUGAACCCAGAUCUCCUAGUGUGUGGAUAUUAAGGGCUAGAUUCUCUUGGGAACAGUGGAGGAAUGAACUACAGAAGAGUCAUUUGGAGAUACCAGACUCUACAACUUCUUCUCUGUGGUCCCUGGACAAAAG